GGCGCAGCUACACAUGCAGUCGAGCGGUAGCACAGAGAGCUUGUCUCUCGGGUGACGAGCGGCGGACGGGUGAGUAAUGUCUGGGAAACUGCCUGAUGGAGGGGGAUAACUACUGGAAACGGUAGCUAAUACCGCAUAACGUCGCAAGACCAAAGUGGGGGACCUUCGGGCCUCAUGCCAUCAGAUGUGCCCAGAUGGGAUUAGCUGGUAGGUGGGGUAACGGCUCACCUAGGCGACGAUCCCUAGCUGGUCUGAGAGGAUGACCAGCCACACUGGAACUGAGACACGGUCCAGACUCCUACGGGAGGCAGCAGUGGGGAAUAUUGCACAAUGGGCGCAAGCCUGAUGCAGCCAUGCCGCGUGUGUGAAGAAGGCCUUCGGGUUGUAAAGCACUUUCAGCGGGGAGGAAGGCGGUGAGGUUAAUAACCUUAUCGAUUGACGUUACCCGCAGAAGAAGCACCGGCUAACUCCGUGCCAGCAGCCGCGGUAAUACGGAGGGUGCAAGCGUUAAUCGGAAAUUACUGGGCGUAAAGCGCACGCAGGCGGUCUGUCAAGUCGGAUGUGAAAUCCCCGGGCUCAACCUGGGAACUGCAUUCGAAACUGGCAGGCUAGAGUCUUGUAGAGGGGGGUAGAAUUCCCAGGUGUAGCGGUGAAAUGCGUAGAGAUCUGGAGGAAUACCGGUGGCGAAGGCGGCCCCCUGGACAAAGACUGACGCUCAGGUGCGAAAGCGUGGGGAGCAAACAGGAUUAGAUACCCUGGUAGUCCACGCUGUAAACGAUGUCGAUUUGGAGGUUGUGCCCUUGAGGCGUGGCUUCCGGAGCUAACGCGUUAAAUCGACCGCCUGGGGAGUACGGCCGCAAGGUUAAAACUCAAAUGAAUUGACGGGGGCCCGCACAAGCGGUGGAGCAUGUGGUUUAAUUCGAUGCAACGCGAAGAACCUUACCUGGUCUUGACAUCCACAGAACUUUCCAGAGAUGGAUUGGUGCCUUCGGGAACUGUGAGACAGGUGCUGCAUGGCUGUCGUCAGCUCGUGUUGUGAAAUGUUGGGUUAAGUCCCGCAACGAGCGCAACCCUUAUCCUUUGUUGCCAGCGGUUAGGCCGGGAACUCAAAGGAGACUGCCAGUGAUAAACUGGAGGAAGGUGGGGAUGACGUCAAGUCAUCAUGGCCCUUACGACCAGGGCUACACACGUGCUACAAUGGCAUAUACAAAGAGAAGCGACCUCGCGAGAGCAAGCGGACCUCAUAAAGUAUGUCGUAGUCCGGAUUGGAGUCUGCAACUCGACUCCAUGAAGUCGGAAUCGCUAGUAAUCGUAGAUCAGAAUGCUACGGUGAAUACGUUCCCGGGCCUUGUACACACCGCCCGUCACACCAUGGGAGUGGGUUGCAAAAGAAGUAGGUAGCUUAACCUUCGGAGGGCGCUA
rnacentral:rRNA from 1 species